AUUGAACGCUGGCGGCAGGCCUAACACAUGCGAGUCGAGCGGAUGAAGGGAGCUUGCUCCUGGAUUCAGCGGCGGACGGGUGAGUAAUGCCUAGGAAUCUGCCUGGUAGUGGGGGAUAACGUCCGGAAACGGGCGCUAAUACCGCAUACGUCCUGAGGGAGAAAGUGGGGGAUCUUCGGACCUCACGCUAUCAGAUGAGCCUAGGUCGGAUUAGCUAGUUGGUGGGGUAAAGGCCUACCAAGGCGACGAUCCGUAACUGGUCUGAGAGGAUGAUCAGUCACACUGGAACUGAGACACGGUCCAGACUCCUACGGGAGGCAGCAGUGGGGAAUAUUGGACAAUGGGGGAAAGCCUGAUCCAGCCAUGCCGCGUGUGUGAAGAAGGUCUUCGGAUUGUAAAGCACUUUAAGUUGGGAGGAAGGGCAGUAAGUUAAUACCUUGCUGUUUUGACGUUACCAACAGAAUAAGCACCGGCUAACUUCGUG
rnacentral:rRNA from 1 species